rnacentral:rRNA from 1 species
AUUGAACGCUGGCAGCAGGCCUAACACAUGCAAGUCGAGCGGAUGAAGGGAGCUUGCUCCUGGAUUCAGCGGCGGACGGGUGAGUAAUGCCUAGGAAUCUGCCUGGUAGUGGGGGAUAACGUCCGGAAACGGGCGCUAAUACCGCAUACGUCCUGAGGGAGAAAGUGGGGGAUCUUCGGACCUCACGCUAUCAGAUGAGCCUAGGUCGGAUUAGCUAGUUGGUGGGGUAAAGGCCUACCAAGGCGACGAUCCGUAACUGGUCUGAGAGGAUGAUCAGUCACACUGGAACUGAGACACGGUCCAGACUCCUACGGGAGGCAGCAGUGGGGAAUAUUGGACAAUGGGCGAAAGCCUGAUCCAGCCAUGCCGCGUGUGUGAAGAAGGUCUUCGGAUUGUAAAGCACUUUAAGUUGGGAGGAAGGGCAGUAAGUUAAUACCUUGCUGUUUUGACGUUACCAACAGAAUGAGCACCGGCUAACUUCGUG